rnacentral:rRNA from 1 species
AUUGAACGCUGGCGGCAGGCCUAACACAUGCAAGUCGAGCGGCAGCACAAGGGAGUUUACUUCUGAGGUGGCGAGCGGCGGACGGGUGAGUAAUGCCUAGGGAUCUGCCCAGUCGAGGGGGAUAACAGUUGGAAACGACUGCUAAUACCGCAUACGCCCUACGGGGGAAAGGAGGGGACCUUCGGGCCUUCCGCGAUUGGAUGAACCUAGGUGGGAUUAGCUAGUUGGUGAGGUAAUGGCUCACCAAGGCGACGAUCCCUAGCUGUUCUGAGAGGAUGAUCAGCCACACUGGGACUGAGACACGGCCCAGACUCCUACGGGAGGCAGCAGUGGGGAAUAUUGCACAAUGGGGGAAACCCUGAUGCAGCCAUGCCGCGUGUGUGAAGAAGGCCUUCGGGUUGUAAAGCACUUUCAGUAGGGAGGAAAGGGUGAGUCUUAAUACGGCUCAUCUGUGACGUUACCUACAGAAGAAGGACCGGCUAACUCCGU